GCUGAUUACAAAUCUCCUUACCAGAUAAUAGAGCUAUUCCACACUCUCCCAGCCUUGGCUACCCAGAGAAAUUGUUGGGAAGAUUGAAAGAGCAGACUCGAGGAGGCUGUGCUUCAAGAGCAGCUUUCCAGAACCACACCACAGGACUGGCUGCUUCUGGGCCCCACAGCCAUGAUGCCUCUGCACCAAUCAGGAAGCUGCUGGUUUUAGAAUAACCAAAUGUCUCCACCCGUGUUUGCCAGUAAAAUCAUCUCCCUAUGCAUGGUUUCCUCCUCAUGAGGCUUCAUUUUUCCUUCCAUGUUUUGUGAGGAGUCUGUCAUUAC
rnacentral:lncRNA from 1 species